rnacentral:rRNA from 1 species
GUGACAAAGUUCAACGGCCACGGUAUCCUAACCGUGCGAAGGUAUCAUAAUCACUUGUUCUUUAAAUGGGGACUUGUAUCAACGGCACCACGAGGGUUAGACUGUCUCCUUUUUCAAAUCAGUGAAAUUAAUCUCCCCGUGAAGAAGCGGGGAUACUCAUAUAAGACGAGAAGACCCCAUGGAGCUUCAAACCCAACUACACCCCUAGCUCUUAUAGCCCCACAACCCCCCUAGGCACCGUGUGCUUGGUUUUAGGUUGGGGCGACCGCGGAGUACAAUAAAACCUCCACAAUGAAUGGGAACACCCCCUUAUCUGAGGGCCACACCCCCUAAGAAUUAGAACACUAACAUAAAAUGAUCCAUUAUUUGAUCAAUGAACCAAGUUACCCUGGGGAUAACAGCGCAAUCCAUUUCAAGAGCCCCUAUCGACAAAUGGGUUUACGACCU